ACCCGCUGAAUUUAAGCAUAUCAAUAAGCGGAGGAAAAGAAACCAACAGGGAUUGCCUUAGUAACGGCGAGUGAAGCGGCAAAAGCUCAAAUUUGAAAUCGGCCACCAGGUCGAGUUGUAAUUUGUAGAUUGUAUCUUGAGAGCGGAUUAAAGUCUGUUGGAACACAGCGCCUUAGAGGGUGACAGCCCCGUAAAAUCUAUUCUCAUUGUAAGAUACUUUCGAAGAGUCGAGUUGUUUGGGAAUGCAGCUCUAAGUGGGAGGUAAAUUCCUUCUAAAGCUAAAUAUUGACGAGAGACCGAUAGCGAACAAGUACUGUGAAGGAAAGAUGAAAAGCACUUUGAAAAGAGAGUGAAAAAGUACGUGAAAUUGUUAAAAGGGAAGGGUAUUGAAUCAGACUUGGUGCUGUUGUUCAACUGUGUUUCGGCAUAGUGUACUCAGCAGUACUAGGCCAAGGUGGGGUGUUUGGGAGUGAAAAAGAAGUUGGAACGUAACUCUUCGGAGUGUUAUAGCCUACUUUCAUAGCUCCUCAGGCGGCCUCAGGACUGCGCUUCGGCAAGGACCUUGGCAUAAUGAUUCUAUACCGCCCGUCUUGAAACACGGACCAAGGAG
rnacentral:rRNA from 1 species